rnacentral:rRNA from 1 species
GGAAGGGGUGUAUUUAUUAGAUAAAAAACCAAUGCCCUUCGGGGCUCUUUGGUGAUUCAUGAUAACUUAACGGAUCGCAUGGCCUUGCGCCGGCGACGGUUCAUUCAAAUUUCUGCCCUAUCAACUUUCGAUGGUAAGGUAUUGGCUUACCAUGGUUUCAACGGGUAACGGGGAAUUAGGGUUCGAUUCCGGAGAGGGAGCCUGAGAAACGGCUACCACAUCCAAGGAAGGCAGCAGGCGCGCAAAUUACCCAAUCCCGACACGGGGAGGUAGUGACAAUAAAUACUGAUACAGGGCUCUUUUGGGUCUUGUAAUCGGAAUGAGUACAAUUUAAACCCCUUAACGAGGAACAAUUGGAGGGCAAGUCUGGUGCCAGCAGCCGCGGUAAUUCCAGCUCCAAUAGCGUAUAUUAAAGUUGUUGCAGUUAAAAAGCUCGUAGUUGAACCUUGGGCCUGGCUGGCCGGUCCGCCUCACCGCGUGUACUGGUCCGGCCGGGCCUUUCCUUCUGGAGAGCCCCAUGCCCUUCACUGGGCGUGCGGGGGAACCAGGACUUUUACA